CAUACAUAAGUGGUUGGCGUCUUCGUUCUCCGACCGGCGCGAUAAAAACGCUAUCACUUUCUCUCACUAAUUCCCUAUUUUAUUUUCUAAACAGACUGAACGAACGGGCUAUCAGUCGAACUUAGUGUAAAUAAGUUCAUUGCACAUUUGAAGGUUGUUUUUAUGGUUUUGCGAAAUUAAGGUCGUGCGGCGCUCAACCAAUUCGCACAUUAUUUUCUUUAAGAGGGAGCAGUAAUUUAUAUCACUAUCAAAAAUAAAUUUUAGAACGAUGGCCUUGUUGAUGGGCACAUGAAGUCACUCACACCUUAUUGGAUACAGAUACGAUUUUUUGGAAAGUGUUUUAUAUUUCACAAUAUUUUGCGAAAAUAGAAAAACAGAGUGAGAAGUUAUUUUAUUUAUUCUGUUUUAUUUCAUUUCUCAACAUAAAAUGCAAAAACACUGUCCACUCAAGCUUCAACUCCAACAUAUUUUCGACGUCUUAGCGAAAUAAGUCAUAAUUAAAAAAAAAAACCAAGGAUGUCAAAUUAUAGAAAAAAUUAAAAACAAAAGUUUAUCACGGACUUCCUGCUACAAUUAUUUAUUGGCCCUAAACUAAUGUAGAUAAUGAAUUAAAGCACUUAUGUACAUAUAUAUAUGUAUGUAUAUUUGUGAUAAUGUGAAAAUCAAUAAAAUUUGUCAAAAAUCGCCUGGGCUGAUGCAAAUCCCAUAGGAAAAUGCACGCUUUCGUCGAAAUCAAAACAGAGUAAAUAAACAAAUUAAUUAACGUGGAUCUGUUAUGCGGGACUUGUACGAUCAGAAGCUUGGCACAACCCACUACCAAAUUAUAUACGUAAAUUAUUCAAAAUAACAACCUACAUAUGUAUGCGAACUCGAUCUGGUGUGCGCCGACGUUCCCAUUCUUAUCAGGACGCCUGCAAUGAAAUAAAUGGCACAGUUUACGCGUCAACGACUGAAGAGCAUUGCAAGGCACGGAUUGGUACAAAAUUUCUACAGUGAACAUUACUUGCAUUGCAAAAAAAUAAAUAUAACGUGCAUACUAAGUUGAUAAUUAAACCAUUUAGAGAAAGCUUUUCCCAAAAAUAAAUUUCUGAAAGAUUUAAACUGCUUGGAUUCACAGUGUUAUACAGAAUCAUCAAUUUAAUUAAAAAAAAUCGAUUUAUUUCUUCAUUGAACAUUGAAAAUAACUUAAAUUUGUCGAAAAACUCGAACACAGUCCGCAGUCGACGAGUAGUAGAAGCCAAUUUACAUAGGAGCACAGACCCUCAAAAUAGCCCAAGUAAUUUAAUAACAAUAAAACUGACUUAAAAGCUCCGACGACAGUCGAUUCUACGUAACCAGAACGAUCCGGAUUUAUAUACGGCCAAAGACGGUCCCUUCAUCAGCAUUCACCGUAUAUGUAAGGGGAAUGUUAAUGCUGCUUCAGCAACAGAAAAUGAAAAC